CAGUAUAUUAUGCGUAUUAUAGAUAUUUGUACUCUUUUUCCUUCACUAGGAAUUUUUUUCCCACAGAGUUUUUGUCUUAGUAAAGCUUUAACGAGACAAAUUAUCUACCAAUGGACAUCCAAUAGGGAGUGUUAUGAAUAUCUUAUUAAGUGGAUGUCUAUGAAGAUUAAGAUAAGUUUUGAUGUAUUUUAAAUUCUAAUAGUUAUUAGAAGUAGAUCUCUACUUCAUUUAUACUUCCUAUGC
rnacentral:lncRNA from 1 species